CCUACGGGAGGCUGCAGUAGGGAAUUUUCCACAAUGGGCGAAAGCCUGAUGGAGCAACGCCGCGUGCAGGAGGAAGGCCUUCGGGUUGUAAACUGCUUUACGGGACGAUUCGGUACCCGUAGAAUAAGGAUCGGCUAAUUCCGUGCCAGCAGCCGCGGUCAUACGGAAGAUCCAAGCGUUAUCCGGAAUCACUGGGCGUAAAGAGUGCGUAGGUGGCAAAGUAAGCGAAUAGUGAAAUGACGAGGCUCAACCUCGUGUCCAUUAUUUGAACUGCUUAGCUUGAGUAUGGGAGAGGUAGAUGGAAUUUCUAGUGUAGGAGUGAAAUCCGUAGAUAUUAGAAGGAACACCGAUGGCGUAGGCAGUCUACUGGCCAUACUGACACUAAGGCACGAAAGCGUGGGGAGCGAACAGGAUUAGAUACCCUUGUAGUC
rnacentral:rRNA from 1 species